ACAUUUUUUGGUAUUUUUAGUAGAACUGCUAAAAUUGCUGUUUUUUAACCGUUAUGAAUUGUUCAAUUUUAACCAUUUUCCGAGUUCAUGAAGAAAUUUUUGAUUAUGGUUGAAAUUCAACAAAAAAAUGCGUGAAAAAACAGUCGCCAUGUUUGCAAUCGCAGAAGUGUUUGUUUUGUUUCUGGUUCCGCGUUGGACUUAGAUUAUAUAAAUCUCCUUAAAGAUUUAAGAUUAAAGAUAACACAAACUAUGAAAGUUGGAGCAAAUAUGGGUUAUGUUAUCUGGAGUCGGAAGCAGCAGCAGUCCCGCCGAAGACAGCUCCAGCUGCCGUCAUAUGUUAGGAAUGUUCCGAAACUCUCUACGUUUGCUGCAUCAGAAGGUUCCGAAAAUAUGCUGGGAAUCACCGGCACUAGAAUCACAGAAGAGCGGGAAACUGAACAUCGCAGGAAAGGCAGCACCGCAUCAUCCGUAACUGUGAUAGCAGUGCCGAAGCAAUCAUUCCCCCGGCCGGCUAAACUUUCUUCCGCUAAUGCAACUUAGUAGUGCCAGUAGACCACUCUUUUACUAGCAUCAAGCAGAUACCAGUGAGGGCAAUCAAAAAUCAAUGUUUAAUAUAAAAAAAUCUGUUGAAAAUCUGAUUGAUUGAUUUCUUUAAUUCUGUUUCCAUUCCAUUCAUAUUUUAAAACGAAUAUUUCCUGCUAAUUUCGUCCCAUUUUUGCUUUUCCGACCAUGCUUGAAAAAUAACCAUUAUCCAAGUUCUCUGUGAAAUCUCAUUUUAUGAGUUUUCAGUGAAAACUCAUAAAAUGACUUAACCCACAAAACUGCCAUUAUGGUUAUUUUUCAAACAUUAAUGGUUCAACGUGGCC